CUGCUCAGGAAAAGGUCAAGAGUGGCACCUGGUCUCAGAGAGGUGUCCGUCAAAGGCUGUCAUAACAGCCCUAUGGACAAGAAGGAGACCUGGGCCAGGUGAGAGUGCUGCAAAACCAUUUGUCCCAAGGAGUUGUGGAUGGGACUUAGGGAAAGGAGGGGCUCCAGAGGCACUGUGACAGUGUCAGAGUGACUACAGGCUCCUCAGGAGAUGUUGAGGGAAAAGAAAGGGCUGGGACGUGCCCUAAGACUUCCUGUGCGCAGGCACUGGUCCCCUCUGCUGAUUCAGGGCUCCCCUAAAACAGCCACCCUCAUCACGAGUAUGGUACCAGGCAGUGGCAAAACCUGUUACAACAUCAGCAGGGCCGGGCGCGGUGGCUCCUGCCUGUAAUCCCAGCACUUUGGGAGGGCAUUGCAGGAGGAUCACUUGAGGCCAGGAGUUCGAAACCCCUUCUCUACAAAAAAUACAAAAAUCAGCCAGCUUUGUGGUGCAUGCCUGUAGUCCCAGCUACUUGGGAGGCUGAGGUGGGAGGAUUGUUUGAGCCUGGGAGGUCGAGGCUGCAGUGAGCUAUGAUUGCACCACUGCACCAAAGCAAGACCCCAUUUCAAAAAACAACAAACAAACAAAAAACACACCAGCAGGUUCUGAUUGUGCAGCCUCAGAAAGCCCCCGGCUUUCCUGUUCAGCAAGCAGGCGCCCUGCAGAGUGAAGGUGCUUUCCCAGAGCCACCCUCAAGUGCUGCUGGAGGCCCAGAUUCCUUCAAAUGACCUGGGCAGCCCUGCCGGAAUGCAGUGUGACAACAGAAACAAGUUGGCUGCUUGGGGAAACCAUGCGGGUGUCCCCAGGCUCUGAUUUGGUAACCGCAGAUACUCUUUGAUAAAUCGUAGAACCAUUAGGCACUGGUUUGGGCAGUAUGUGUGUGGAUGGGGAAUCUGUUUAUGAGAAUAUAAAAUAAAACGUGCAAACACAGGAGAAGUAGAAGAUACAGGUGGCAGGGUGGAGUGAGAACUGAAGUCAGGACUGGGGAGCUGGAGGAGGAAAUCAGGCCUGAAGAAACUUUGUGGCCAAAGCCAGCAAAUCUUGUAUAUGUAGGAUCUCCAUGAACUGUCCUAAAAUUUCCAAGAGAAGCAGACAUCUAUCAAGUAGAAGACAAAAAGGGAUGCUGACCAGGGAGGCCGGAUGCUGGAUGUGGUCUAGGAGGAAGCCUUGGAAUUUUCUCACUCUGGAUUGUGGAACCACAAAGUCAGUCUGGAGCUGCCUACAUCUGGACACCUAGGCUCCUGUCACAGCCAGUUUAUUAUUUCCAGUCACUCAUUACUGGGAUUCUCCUCUCCCUGGGGCGUUAUGAAGCUAAGAUGGCAGCAGAAUGCUAUGUCACUGUAUACAGAAACAAGACAACCUGAAGCUGAAUGGAUGCCCACUGCAUAGUCAACAGGUCCAGCCUCACAGUACAUGCCCUGAGCUACAGCCCCUCCAAAAGGCAUCUUCCCCACAGCCUCAGUGCCGAGCAAGGAGCAUCAAGAGUUUGUCUUGGCUGUUUUGUUCUUUUUACAAACUAUAGAGAUAUACAGUUGAUAACUCAGGAUUUCUAGCCAAUAACCAUAUAGUUAACACCACCUUACAAAUAAAAAGAAAAUGCCAGAAACAUCUUUAAAUGCCUUGUCACACCAACAGCAAAGUGCACAGAGAGAGGAGAACAUGAGAGUGCCUUUUCAUUUUAAAAAUGUUUGGAAAUAUGUACAACUUUGAUGCAGUUUCAGGGUGCUCCAGACACCCAUGGCCACUUCACGUAAACCACUGGCAAUUUCUAGAGCACUUUGAGAGACUACAGAAUCAUGAUCAAAUUU